ensembl:lncRNA
UUUUUUUUUUUUUCCCCCUCUGAGGACAACGCUUUCCUCUAAAGACAGGCUAACAGCCUUUGGUGAAAACCCCAAGUACGUAACUUUGGUCCCUGGGGCUGCUUAGUCCUAAUAUGAUUACACAUCUAAAUGCAAUAAACGGGGCAAAGUGGUAUGAUUUUUCUGGGAAAAACCAACAUCAUAAAAGGGUCUUUAUUGAAUCAAGGGCCCGUGAACUGUUCUCUUCCCUAAUUACGGCUCCCAAGUGAACCGCGCUGGGUUUCCAGGCAGGACUCCUCACAGCUCCCAAGCCCAAAGGGCGAUGGGCUAUUUGUCACGACUUGUCUAAUUACAACGAAAGCCACCCAAAGGACCAAAGGAGGAUGCCAAGGAUGGCCGCGGCCCCCUCCCCCACUCGGGCUCUGGAAACAGGGGGAGCUGGAUCUCAGGCCUACUUCUAUUUUAAGGAGUCCCCCCCCCCAUCCCCACCCCUUACCUACAGAGUCAGGAUCCUGGGCCCCGCCCCUUUCCGCCGUCAAUGCUUAAGAGGGAUCCCGACACUGCCCGUCUCUAUCCCCAGCUCUACAGAAAAGGCCCAUUGUCCAACUGCCCUAUUUUGCCAGAUGUUUUUAACAUUCAGCGAUUGGGCCAAGGUUAGCAUGCACCCAGACCUGAGCGACAAUAAAUGUCUGCCAUCACCAGACGCGGGAGGGGGAGAGGGACAGAGACUCAGGCCAGGGAAGGGAAAACCCUCCACACUAACCAGCUAGGGGCGAGUGGUCUGGCCAGGCAAACUGGAGACCAGUAUUUUGCUUAUAUACAAGUCCUGGUUCCAAGUAUCUGUUUAACCGUCUUCUUAGUUCUAAGAGCAGAGACACUUUUUUUGGGGGGGGUGUAGCGUCUGCAGCAGAGAGAAGUUUCCGAGCCAGGGAUUGAACCUGCGCCACAGCAGUAACAAUGCUAGAUCCUUACCUAGGCCACCAGGGAACUCCUUAAGACACAUUUGUAAAAAAACUUUUUCCACCCAUGUUCUUAAGCUCACAGCUGCAAGCUCCAUAGAAAAGGAUCCAAGAGAACAUUAUCUUGACUCUGGUACUAAUAGGUGAUCAAACGAACACCCCCCCUCCCCGCCACCAAAGUCAGUGACUUCACCCUCCCCCCCCACCCCAACCUCAGGGGGUGUAUCAGGCAUAUUUCCCUAAAGAAAGAGGAACACUAAACCCGCCCCAUAUACAGCAAGGACUUGCUUUUCUUUUCAUGUUUUCUCCCCACAAAUCGAGGCAGCAAGGCUUGCCAAGUUCAGGGCCGGCUUCAUUGGGGUUACUUGGCUGGCCCCACAGGCCCUGGGGUGAGCCACGCUGUUACUUAAGAGCAGCUACCACGCACAGCCUCACCCCACCACCAUGUGCCCAGUGUGUCACACGGGCAUUCUCGUGGAUCCCUGUGGCAUACCAUAGGGAGGGCACAGAUCAUCACAGAUGGGGAAAGCUUGUCGCCCAACAAGUCCCCAGGAGAGCCUGCAAAGCGAACACCCUUUCUCCAAUGCCUGCCUUCAGCCUCCUGGAAAACCAGAUACCAUCGGCAAAUAAGCCACAAUGCAACUGACGUGUCUUCAGAAGGGGAGGAGUACCUUACAGUGGACACGGGAAAAAAAAGAAAAUGCAAGAGCAGAAUUUAAGCCUCAGUCACCCAGGGGAAGCCAGCAUUUUCCCUUGAACCCCACACCCCAGGGCAGAAAUCCAGCGUUUCUUGAGAAUGAACCACAAUAUCUUCUCGGAUUGAUUCAAAUGUCCCAGCUGCAUAUCCCUGAAUCCUUCCCCCACCCCUCCCGCCCUGUGCCCUCUUCUGUGCCUCGGGGCUCAGACUCUUCCAAGGAUGCUAAGGCUACAAGGGGCAUGCACUGCAGUUGGUCCAGCCCCCCACUUGGUGGAGAAGGGGACUCUCAGACCCACAGUGGCAGAGCUGGGGUUAAAAUCAGGCCAGGGCUCUUUCCAUAGAACACCUCCUUCCCCAGCCCUCCUGGGCAGCAAACACAAGGGGUCUGGCUACGGGGCAAUUGCAAAAUUCCCCAAACUGUGCCAGAGGGAGGAGGGUGGGGGUGCUGCAGUGGGUGAGAAGUCACCUGCUCUGCAUCCCUGGAAACCCUGCCCACUGCCCAGGGCUCUAAAGCACCGAAGAGAUUAAGAUCCAUCACAAGCUCCCGUGUUGAAAUUCAAAAUGAAAACGUCACCAAGCCAUAAAAAAGUAUAAGGAAGUCCAACGAAAUUCUGAUUUUUAUUUCCCAUCAUGAUCACUCUGCAGCACUUUUUGGAAUAUCAAAACAUUUCCUUCCUUCUCCUCCAGCCCUUGGAUUCUGUACCCUGCUUGACCGGCCCCUCUAGAGUGUGUCUGGCUGGCCCACUGGGUUUCCUGGGGCCCUUUCGUGAAACAGUCUUGGGACCUCUCGGGCUGCAUGCUUGGCAGAGCAGAGGUGUGAGGUGGCCCCAUCUGGGCAGCCAGGGUUCCUUUAAGGACCCAUCCACGUCCUGUUCUACAGCUCACACUUGCUGCCUCCGACCUGGGGAGGCCCUGCUGCACCCAGAAGGCUGGGUUUCCUGCUACGGCAGCACCAAAGGCAGCUGUGAGAUCUGGGGGGAGCCCUUCCCCAUGGAGCUGCAGCCUCAGCCACAAGAAGACCCACAAUCCCCAUCUUCUGCUCUCAGAGCCGCGGUACAAAUCAGGGUGGGUAGUGAGGGGCCAGGGCCGUCUUAUCCGUGGUUGUAACCCCAGCCUGGCCUGUGGCUGGUGGACAAAAGACUCACAGGCUCGGACCCGGCUUUAGGAUUACAAGGCUGCUGUUCCCAGUGGGUGAAGUAACUUGGCCAGGACCAUGCCCUUAUUCAAAGUAAGAGAGACGGAGUUCCCAGCGUGGCGCAGCGGAAACGAAUCCGACUAGGAACAAUGAGGUCGCCGGUUCGAUCCCUGGCCCCGCUCAGUGGGUUAAGGAUCUGGCAUGGCCAUGAGCUGUUGUGUAGGUUGCAGAGGUGGCUCGGAUCUGGCAUGGCUGUGACUGUGGCUGGCAGCUGUAGCUCUGAUUAGACCCCUCGCCUGGGAACCUCCACAUGCCAAGGGUACAGUCCUAAAAAGCAAAAAACAAAAAAAAAAAGUGAGACGAGCUGAUGAGGAUGGACCAGUCGAAGGUCUACUGGUGUGUGCCAGGCACUGUGCCUGCAUUUUUGCUCCGAGCCUCACCACGGCGUGACAAGGGCCAUCUCAGAACCCUCAUCUAUGAGGGAAGAAAUGGGCACAGGGAAGUUACUCGUCAAAGGCCACCCAGCUGGCAAGUGGCAGAUAGGACUCCAACUAGGGCACAUCUGGACCCCAAAUCUGCCUUUACGGCCCUCACGCUCAGCUGCUUAGAGAAAACCCCUGCGUGAACCCCAAAUGGAUCUCUUGCUUCUGAGACAACUCUUCCACGGGCUUGUCACAGAUCAGGAGGGCUGCGCUUUUGUGCAAAAGAACAGAGACAGGCCAAAUAUUUACCAUCCCGGGCAAGGAGCCGCAAACUGGCCUGACAGCAGAAUCAACUCUGGGCAGAAGGGAGGGCCAAGCUGUCGCUACGGAAAGUGGAGAACAGAGUCGUGACCACGGCUGAGGGUGCAGACCGCCUGGCUUGGGGCAGAGGCACCGAAGGAGCCCUGGGGAGGCAGCUCAGAGGCCAGCCCUCCCACCAAAGCCCCCAAGAGCCACCACAGAAACCCUGGAAGGGUUUCAAAGUCUGGAAAUUUCCAGAGUUGCUCGGACUUGGGAAAGGAGAGGAGAGGGUCCCCUUUUCCCCCAAGGCUCCUUCGUCAAUCCAGCUGUGCUGGACAAAAAUGGACCUCUAAUCUUUCACAGGUUGGGAUAUUAUUUUUCUUUGGAAAAAAAAAAAAAAAGCGAAAUGGGCGAAGUUAAUUAUUCGCCAGGUUGCAAUUCACUUAGGAGUUGAGGGAAUGUAAGUUUCCUCCUCAGGCAGGACCAGGAGUCCAGCUGGAUUUGAGGAGUCUCCCUGGGUCUCCCUGGGGGUCUGGCUAAAAUCCUACCCUCCCAUCAGCUUCCCACCUUGCAUUUAGCGGCUUCCUGACACCGGCUCCAGGGCAAACAAGUCUGCUAUUUAAGCCACUUCCGCCGUAAAGUUGCCUGCGAGGUACCCAGCUUGGAGGGAUGGAUUGGGGUGAGGGGUGGGGGAGGACGGAGGCAUCUGCUUCAGGAAACUAGAAUUCAAACGAAAUCCAAAAAGCGCUCAUCUAAAACACAAUGCCUAAAUACGACAAGGGCUUAACUCGUAGCACAAAUCGGCUCCUGAAGGCCGGGCCAGCUCACUGCAGAGCUGACUCAGUCACAUCUUGCAAAGGAAAAACCUAAUCACUCACUUCCCCCCAAAGAAAUGAAGCCCAGAGGCAUUUCCUAAAAAUCCCGAAAACCCUGGAGAGCCUCAGGGAACAGGGCCCCGCCUGAAGGAAGACUGCUGGCCACCUGGGCCAGGCCAGGGGCGGCCCCAGGGGCUGCCCGGCUCCUAAUCCUUUCCGCUCAGGGAUUUCUGCCCCUCUCCCCACACCUGUCCCCUCCAGGGUGGCUGCAAAGCUUUCCUGCAUCUCGUUGCUCCAGACCAGUCCUGCGAGUGUUUUAUGUUUUACGACCACGCAAUAUUCUGGAGAUUUCCACUUCAUUGAAUUUAAGAUACUGAUCCCCAGGGCAGGGAGAGGCAUGGGUUCAAAGGGAGAACUUGGUUUUCCCAAUGUGAUUGCACGGCACGCUCCUUAAUCAGGGCAGUGCCUCCAGCUGAAGCUCCCACCGGUGUGGAAUCCUCUCCCCUCCGAGAGGAUCUUGCCUCAAAACUUAGCAUUGGUCAAGAUGCCUGUAGGCUUAGGUGCAUGGCCAAAGAAACCCUUCUGCUCCCACAAUUCCGGUGUCUGCAUGGUCCGCUGGUUCGAGCCGGCAGGACAAAGCUCACACGGAAAAAAAAUGCCAGCCAAGAGCACGCUCCUGGGCUCACAAGCCCAACCCUGCCUCAGUGGCCCCCACAGCCCCUGGGGCUCCUUUUCUCACAGGCCUCCUCACUGCAGGGACACAGGUGAGGCAGGAUCUCCUCUACACAGGCCCACGGAAGUCGGAGAUGCCUCUAGAAAAACCUUCCACCACUUCGGGAGAGGUGGGCCGGUCUGGCGAGGCGGAUUUCUCCCGGCCGCUCCUCCCUGCUUCUAGAAACCUCUCCUGCUUUCCAAAGCCAGAAAGAAAGGGGCUCCAAGUGUCCUAUUUUGUCACCUGGCCCUUCACACGGUUCAGGUCACCUCACUGCGUGUUCCCGAAUGUUUUUCCAAGGCCCCCACUGCCAAGACAGCCAAACACAAUGCAAAUAAAUACAAAUAAACAAAAAGUUCCAGCACCAGGCAAACCCGAGCUUUCUGGGGUUAAUGGGGUUUUUCUUCUGCGGGAAGAAGGUAGGAGCGUAGCAACUGGUUAAAGGGUUUAAGUGAAUCUCAGCAUUAAAACUUGAAGAGGACUCUGGGCGGGUCAGCAUUAUGUUGCAUUUGUCAGGGAACAAAAGACCAGCCAUUAGAAACACACCCGCAAAGACGCAUCUUUAAAGAAAUGGUGGAGGGGCGCGGGGACAGGGGCAAAACCCUCCGCAUCCUGUCCCAUAUUCCCAGGGGCACCUCUAGACCUCGGCCGGCCCUCAGCAACCCCAAGCUCAAGGGGUUGCGGCUCUGGCAAGGGGAGCUCCGCGGGUUAGGGAGAGGGGCGCCCUCUUUCCCCUCCCUCCAGGUCGACCGCGGCGGGGAUCCAGCUCCACCCGUAGGACACGAACCGCACGCAGUGACCAGCUCGAGUUUCCGAGCCCAUUCCAAUUGCUCCCGCCAAGCACAGGGAUCCCGCGAACCUCCGCACAAAGCCCGAGGCGAGCGCGCCUUGCCAGCCCACCUCCAGAGCGGAUCCGCGAAGUACGGCCCGGCCGGGGUCCCUGGCCCACCUGGGAGCCGAGCUCGCGCCCGCCGGGGGGGAGAAAGCCGGGAAGGGGAGAAGAGGAGCCGUCGGUCCUGGGGGCCGAGGACUGGGACUUUGUAGGCCAGUUGAACCAACACCCUCAUCUCGCCCGCAAAGACCCAGCCCUCAGCUCCCGCGCGUCUCGGACUCGGGCUGCGUCCCCGACGGGCUCCCUCGAGCGAGAUCCGGCCCGCUUUCCACGCGCUCUGCUCGGCCGAGACUCUGCGUUUUCCCCCAGCGGCGU